GUCGAGGACAGUUCAGAAGAGUAACAACUCUGCCAUUCACAGACUGAGCCCAAGCUGAAGAUGCAUGAAUGGCAAAGGAAUUUCCAUAGUAGUUAGCAGUUGUCCAAUACUGUCUGGUAGGCAUGGAGAUAACUUCUGAACAUCCUCUUGCAAAUAUGGAAAGAUAAGUAUGGAAGGAAAUAUGGGAAAAAAUUAAGAAGCAUAACAAAAGGCCAUUUGAGCUUUUUUUGGUAAUUUCCUGGACCUGAAAUUGUCAUUACUACCUUAUCUGCCUCAUUGAAGACAUCUCCAUCAGCAAGAAGAGAAGAAGCAAGACACAAGCUGCAUCCAGUAGAACCAGCUUCCAGGCUGUUCUUGACUCUGCCAAAGCACAGAAGAAAGAUGGAAUCACUCUAUGCUGCUGUAUAAUGAUCUGGGAAAGCUGAUGGCCUCUCCUGGAAAGAUUUGCCACAGCAUCAUGAUGACUGGAAUAUCAGAAGUUGGGGAAUUAUCCUUGGAGCCUUUGGUUACUUGCAAACUGUGCUUAUCUGAAUAUUCCCUGGAUAAAAUGACUUCUCUGCAAGACUGCAGCUGCAUCUUUUGUACAUCGUGCCUAAAACAAUAUAUGCAGUUAGCCAUUCGGGAAGGUUGCGGUUCUCCCAUCACUUGUCCAGACAUGGUGUGCUUAAGCCGGGGGACUCUGCAAGAAACUGAGAUUUCCAGCUUAGUACCUGCUGAUCAAUUUCAGUUAUACCAGCGACUGAAAUUUGAAAGAGAAGUGCAUCUGGAUCCACUAAGAACCUGGUGCCCCUCUGCUGACUGUCAGACUGUGUGCCAAAUUGAACUCAGUGAAUCUGAAUUACCAGUGCCUGUAAAGUGCCAGGCUUGCUACUUGACGUUCUGCUCAUCAUGCAAAGAACCCUGGCAUCUAGACAGAUCGUGCCUGGAAAGCCAUCUUCUUGUAGUACCAAAUGAGCAAGGAGCACUUAUCCGGACUGACACAGACGCUCCAAUUAAACAGUGCCCAAUUUGCCGCAUCCAUAUAGAACGGAAUGAAGGCUGUGCUCAAAUGAUGUGCAAGAACUGCAAGCACACAUUUUGCUGGUAUUGUCUUCAAAAUCUGGAUAAUGAUAUCUUCUUAAGGCAUUAUGACAAAGGUCCUUGCCGAAACAAACUGGGCCAUUCCCGUGCCUCUGUUAUGUGGAACAGAACACAGGUUGUUGGGAUUCUUGUAGGCCUGGGUAUCAUUGCUCUGGUGACCUCACCCCUACUGCUCCUGGCCUCUCCAUGCAUUAUCUGCUGUGUCUGCAAAUCCUGCCGAGGGAAGAAAAAGAAACAUAUCCCAUCGACAACUUAAAGCUUUCCACCUGUUAUGUAUGAACACUUACUUAAUCUGUAUCAGGGAGAGGACAUGAGGGCUCAUCUUGGAUGCUAGUGCUUUAACAACCAAUUCUUCCCUUUGCCAACUUCUGUAAAAAGUGCCUACUGUAACACAGGACACCGUGUUGUUUGCAAGUUGGUACUUCACCAGUGGGUGGAAUGUCUGCUCUAGAGGUGGAUAUUUUGAGGGUCCUUCAGAAUGGUCUACAGCUGUUUCAGUCUUGCAGAUGAAGAUGAAAUUCCCCUCACAUUCUGGACAGGUAUCCAUUUUAGAGCACUUUAAUUUUAUAUCUCCCAAAGCAGUACUACCAUUAAAUGAGGAAAUACGAGUAAACAAUCAAGUCCGUUUUUCAGAAAUCUCUGGUUAUUGUAAGUUUUAGCUUUCCAAAGGCUAAGGGAAUUUUAUUAUUUUUAAAUGUUAAAUUUUUAAAUGACAAACCCGAACCUGAAAAGUGAGAAGUAAUAGAAAUGAAGUAUUGUAUGUAACAGGAUUCUCAUUAAUACGCAUUUUACUAAAAGCCUCAAUAACAAUGACAUGAAGGUAUUGCUGCAGAAACCAAGCUCCUCAGGCCAAGCAGGUUUCUUGAUAUGCCAAACAGCUUUACAUUCAAACUCAGGUUAAGUUGUGGAUGUAAAUUAUUUCAAGUGCAUUGUAAACCAUGAAUGUCCAGGUGUGAAGCUGUGGCGUGAGAUGUGGCAAGUUAUGGUGACUCAUGGUGGGGACAACUCCUUGAAAUGAUGCUCAAUUCCUUACUCGAUGUAAGAGAAGUGUUGCUGCUCAUAACACUAGACAAGAAGAAUUUUUUCCUCGGUUGAGCUACCAUCCAACUCUACUGUACAAUACUGUACUCUCCAGCAUUGAAUUUCUGCUACCUUGUUCCCUGCCUCAGGCCUCUAUACUGCAAUGGUGCCAGAGAAUUCUGCUUAUGACAGUAGGCUGUGUGUUUACUAAAAAGGUGAAUAUGCGAUACUUAAAUAAGACCUCUGUAACCAUGGAACCCAUGUCUGUACUUUACCCAUGCCUGGGAAAAAAUGGUCUCUCUAGAAAUUUGCUAGGUUCUUCAGAACAUUCUAUGGUAUGUUUUUCUGGAAGUUACCAUAUAGUUGCUUCAGAAGACCUAGAGGUUCCUAGAGAAGUGUCCUUUCUAGGAAGUUGCCAGGUCCUCCCAUGUAAUUUUAUAUGUUGGAAAUGAAAUUGAGCUAUUUUAACAGCAUUUGGUUGUAUUGGCAGUUUCAUGUAACCAUGGGCCAAAGUUUGCCCAUGCCUGAAUCAGGUGAUCUGCCAUGAAUUGUGGAUUCAUAUUUUGGCCCCUAAUUAUUUUUAGAUGGUUCUCACUUUGAAAUAAAUUUGGAAGUAUAUGAAAACAGUCCAUACAUUGGCAAUCAAAAUUUUGGAUGCUUAGUUAGGAUUUACCAUAGAGACUAUGAUACCAGUAAAACCCUUAUUCUACAAUUUUCUUUUCAUCUUGCAUGAGAAGGUUUAUACACUGCUGGCCUUUCAGUGAGGAUCAUUUCAUAGAUAUGCUGUUUUGCGGGAAACCCAAUUGAUUGUUCUUGUUUGGAGAAGAGAGAUAAUUGAUUUCAUGAUUUUAUAUGGGGAUCUUAAUUUGGAAUAAGACAAUUAAGUAUCAGUGGGAAAGGACAGGAAAUAAUGCACUAAAUAGUGGUAUGAUUGCAAAUGUGUGUUUUGGGUUUUUUUUAAAAUGGAAGAACUAGAAUAAAGUGGAGGUACCUGUAGCAUUCCACGCAAGACUUUCAAAUGUAGGACUAAAAAGGAUUCACUAUUGUAUACAAAAGUAAACAUUGUCUACUAGUACCUGUUCAUUCUUUGGCGUUAAUUGGUUUUCAGUUAAUAUGAUGGAGGGCCAAGCUUGUGAUCUUUGUAAGAUUAAUCAGAAACCAUUUUCUUUAUAUUCCAAAGAAAGCAGAUGUGUAGGAAGAAACUGAAGUGCUCUUUAUAAGUUUUAUUUAAUGAUUCAGCAGUUGAGGGUUUUAAAAAUUGAGAUGUACUUUACUCUGUAUCUUGUUAUAAUAUAUAUAUUUUCAAUCUCUGUGGUUUCCUUCUCUUUCUCCACCCCGCUCCAAUGUCGUAAUAUGCAACAUGGGCAGAAUUAAAAAUUUAGAAAAAGCA